rnacentral:rRNA from 1 species
GACGUACCACCCAAACGUUAUUCGGAAUCACUGGGCUUACAGAGUCCGUAGGCGGCUCGGAAAGUUGGGCGUGAAAUACCUCAGCUCAACUGAGGAAUAGCGCUCAAAACUACCGAGCUGGAGAGAGACAGAGGUGAGCGGAACUGAUGGUGGAGCGGUGAAAUGCGUUGAUAUCAUCAGGAACACCGGUGGCGAAGGCGGCUCACUGGGUCUUUUCUGACGCUGAGGGACGAAAGCUAGGGUAGCGAACGGG